rnacentral:snRNA from 1 species
AUCGGUAUCAAGUUAGUAUCUGUUCAUACGUCUCUAUCCGAGGACAAUAUAUUAAAUGGAUUUUUGGAGCAGGGAGAUGGAAUAGGAGCUUGCUCCGUCCACUCCACGCAUCGACCUGGUAUUGCAGUACCUCCAGGAACGGUGCACCACCU